UACCUGCAAAAAAAAUUGGAAAUUUAGUCAUCCGUGGAAUCUGUAAUUAUAAUGAGGCUCCACUUCUCUUGGGUAUGUAUUAAAUUUUCAUUAUAUAUGAAAAUAUUCAUGAAUAUUAAAUCGAUCGAGAGAACGGGCAAAGAUAAUAAUGUGGCAAAAAACUUGAUAUCCGUUACAACGCAAUUUAUAUUAUUGUGUAUAAACAUAACUUAUAUCUGAAGCAGCAAUGAUUAAAAAUUAUGAUAAGGCUACGAUAUUAACUGUAAGAUAAAAUGAAGUUGGUUUUAUCACAAUUCUAUAUAAUCAUAAAUUUGCGAUUGUCAAAAAUUAGGAUUCAAAAGAAGAGGAGAUUUCAAUGAAAAUUUAUGUUUCAGACAAUAGUUUUUUUUCCUUUUUUUUAGUUUAAGAAAGUUGCAAGUGAGAUCAGGACAGAAAUUUGGAUUUCGAACAGAUUGAAGGAACGAAUUUCAAGAAAAAUUAGAGGUGGCGAUGACACACAGAAACGGCACAAUGGCCCGAGUUAUACGAAAAGCGCCGCGCACUACCUAUUUAUACAAAUGUAUUUCUGUACCACUGGACACCUACCUAACUUGAAAGGAGUGCAAGGGUCGGCGAGGAUGCCAGAAACAAACACAUAAUCGCAGGGAGCGCGGAAAUACGUAUGAAACAAAGUCGACGGAGAGACGUUAGAAUAUUUUGUCACGAGACGAAAUAAAUUCGUGCUGUCCUAAGGAAGAAUAAAGUUUAUCUCGCAAAAUUCUUUCUCAACGACACACGUGGCGUAAAUGUACAAAGAAAAAGGUUGUAGAGUACGAGAUGCAACUAAAUCAGAAGCCACGUGAAAACAAUCACUAUUCUCUACUAUCGCGAAUUCAUCUUCUAUUCGGUCAAAGUUACCAAUCUGCAUAAUAUAAUAAAGAGGGGAUUUGUCGCGGUGAUUUCGAUUCCGCACGUUGAUUUGCGAAUGACGUGACUGCCUAUUUGACCGUCAUUGUUUACGCGUCGAAAUGUUACGCGAGAUUUACGAAGCCGCGCUCACACCGCGUCGCGGCUAAAGUUAUCUCGAAGGUCCGGUCGUUUUCGUGCUGUUUACCCUUGUUUUUCAAAUCGCCGUGACUUUCCGCGCCGCGCUUUGCGUAUAGCGUGUGCGAUAAACAUUAUGCGUCAUCGAUUAUGCAUCGAGCGCGACAUAACGCGCGGUAUCGUUACGCUGCGCGCAUGCAUUAAUUCGGCCUUGGCGCUUGGAUUGUUUAACGCCUCAGGAAACGAUUGCGAGGGGAGGGGGAUGAGGGGUAAAAGCGCGUGCUGAGUGCACGCGACUUGGCACACCUGACUUGUACCGGCGAAUUCACUGCGAGAGUUUCGUUCGUGAUCAUGUUGAAAUAAGAAUACAAAUUUUAAAAAAGGAAGAGGAGCAGCCAACUGUAUCGCCACACAUGUAGCUCGUGAAUUAUCUAUAUCUCAGAUCAGAUUGUUUACUUUCGUGUCCGGUUAUUUCGAAGUCAAACCGGAGCACGAGAUAAUUUUGGGGAAAAAUCUAGAAACUGAGAUCAGAAAAGCGAUUAUUUAUUCGGGAUUUGUCAUCAAAAUAUUACAAAUAAAAAUACAUCGGAUGGUUUAGAUUGCAGUUCUCGUAAUGCAGAAUAUCAAAGAAGAAACUGUAAUAUCGUUGAUAAUCGAACUGUUUGUUAAGAUCAAGUGAAAUGAAUCGGAGUUAUCGGUAAAGAUAUCCAACAAAAAUAUAUCUUUAAGUCUUUUAUCCGUCUUUAUAAAUUUUCAAGUCAAAAUGAAAAAAAAAGAAAUUAUUUACACAGAUUAGUUUUAUAAAAAAUUCUUUACAUCAAAUAUUGAAAAUUUAAUAACGCAAUUUUUUUUACCUUUCAAUGAAACUCAUUAGACCUCAUAUUUUAUUAAAUCCUUAAAAGCAAGCUUUUUUUCUGCUUGCAACAUUAUUUGAUAAAUGAAUUACAGUUGUGUAUCAAUAGCGGUUAAUAAUUAAAAAAUGGUAUUAGUUAUCGUUUGAGACUAUCGCGCGUUUGGAAAAAUCGCUUCGAAAUUGACAUUGAAAGAAUCCGAAGGAAGUGAUGUGAUACUUCGGUAUAACUUUUUUUUCUGUAACGUAUCUGCUUCUCACGACUCGUCUUUUCGCCUCCUCUUCGCUCUUCUCGCAAUCGAAGUAACGUGCAAACGUGUAAACAUAAACGCGAUAAGUUAUCCCUCUAUCGUUCGUUAAAAACGCAAUAAGUAGAGCUCGUAUUCAAUAUCGCGCGUUCAAUGUCGUGUCCGGCCGAUCUGUGAACUUCAGUCUUAAUAAGUUUAACCCUUCGAGAGCGCAAAGAUUUGUGAGUGCGUGGUCGUCGAGUUCGUUUUACCUCCCAUUACUUGAACAAAUAACUUUCUCCUUGAGAGAAGAAGAAUUUAUCACUCUGUAAUUUUAUUGAAAUUUAACUCAUUCUCUCUGGGAGAUGAAAAUCAAGAUGUUUUUUUUUUUGGGCGAUCGAUAAUUGAAAAAAUUAACGUAGCCAUUGGAGAGAAAAUAUCGAAAAAAAGUAAUGAAACAUGUGUUAUAUCUCAUGGAUUUAUAUAUUUAACACGCUGUUAUCUUUUCAUAUCACAUAUAGUGAGCGUAAAAAGAAUUCGUGCAGAAUAUUUUUUGAAACUCAAUUUUUAGAAAGCAAUUUUAUUCUUUACAAUCUAUUAAGUUUAUUAUUAAUAAAUUACUGCUUUUCUUCUAAA
rnacentral:lncRNA from 1 species